GGACCUGUCUCUCCCUCUCCACAGUGAGCUCUCAUUGGUCGUGGUAUUUCUCAUCCAUUGGUCGGAGCUUCUACCGUUCACCCUCCCCCCUUCCCUCACAUCUCUCUCUCUCUCCAAUCUUCUUGCCUUCAGAACUCUCUUGCACCGUCGCCCUCCUCGCCCCUGCCGCAACGGCCAGGCGGUUCUGUGCUGAUACCGCCAUUCGCCGCUAUCGUAUCAGUAGUCAGUUCCCCGCGGCUCUCCGAGACUUAUGCCCGUGCGUUCGUGCGGAGCUCAUUUUUACACUCCUGGCCCAAACACUCCACCAGUCACACAUCUUCGACGACCUUUAAGUGUUCAAGUUCGGAUUUGCAACGUCUCGCGUAAUCCUAUUACUCGAGUUCACAUUGGUCCUACUAUACGGUAGCACAGUUUAUUCGUCAUAGAUCCCUUGGUGUUCGGUUGACAAGUGUGUGCGCACCCGAUGAGUUUUAAUUGCUCACAUAACUAGGAAUGGUCCCUACCUAUCCAUUCAUACUUACUUACCUACGUGCUGCAUUGUUCCCUCUUACGUGCAAUUUUUUUUCAAGGGAAGCUAUUUUGUUCGGUCGUGCAAUUGAAAUAUCCACAUUUUUAUCAUCAGUGAUCCGUUACAGUGCAUUCAAAUUUCAAUCACGUGCUUUUAAUUAUCGCCUUACUUAAUUGGAGUCUCUAUAAUCAUCUUCUGGAAGUGCACCUAUGUUCUUCAAUUUUGCGUACCGAUCUGUCAGAUUCAAGGAGAAAUUCGGUAAACAUGAUGGCCUGUUGGAUAGGUUGUGGUUCACGAAUUUAGAUUUGUCUCUGGAAUUUAGGCACACUAUCUGCAUCUGCAUUUCCCGCUCAUUUUCGCGCUAAUAUCCAGCAUCCAGCAUCUUCCCAGAAGAUUUCCUUGAUUGCGAUUCACCAGCGAUUCAUUGAUUGUGAUUCAUUUUGGUGCGAGUAACUAGCAUUCUGCAAGAUUGCGGGGUAUUGAAGUUGAACAAGAAAUUUAGAGGGCAGUAGUAGCCUCCGUAAGUCGUCACCUAUCAGAGCCCCGGGUUAGUGAUUGUUUUUCACAUC